rnacentral:rRNA from 1 species
AUUGAACGCUGGCGGCAUGCCUAACACAUGCAAGUCGAACGCGAGUAGGGGCAACCUUACCUGAGUGGCGGACGGGUGCGUAAUACGUAGGAAUGUUCCCUAGAGCGGGGGAUAACCCGGGGAAACUCGGGCUAAUACCGCAUAAUCUCUACGGAGCAAAGGGGGGUCGCAAGACCUUUCACUUUAGGAUGAGCCUACGUCGGAUUAGCUUGUUGGUGAGGUAAAGGCUUACCAAGGCGACGAUCCGUAGCUGGUCUGAGAGGAAGACCAGCCACACUGGGACUGAGACACGGCCCAGACUCCUACGGGAGGCAGCAGUGGGGAAUAUUGGACAAUGGGGCAACCCUGAUCCAGCAAUGCCGCGUGUGUGAAGAAGGCCUUCGGGUUGUAAAGCACUUUCAGUGGGGAAGAAAUGCUAACGGUUAAUACCCGUUAGCUAUGACGUUACCCAAAGAAGAAGCACCGGCUAACUCUGUGCCAGCCGCCGCCGUAA